rnacentral:rRNA from 1 species
UACGUAGGUGGCAAGCGUUGUCCGGAUUUACUGGGCGUAAAGGAUGCGUAGGCGGACAUUUAAGUCAGAUGUGAAAUACCCGAGCUUAACUUGGGUGCUGCAUUUGAAACUGGGUGUCUAGAGUGCAGGAGAGGUAAGUGGAAUUCCUAGUGUAGCGGUGAAAUGCGUAGAGAUUAGGAAGAACACCAGUGGCGAAGGCGACUUACUGGACUGUAACUGACGCUGAGGCAUGAAAAGCGUGGGGGAGCAAACAGG